UUUUUUUUUUAAUAUAAAAAACGUAUAAUAACGUAUUAUAGAGAGCCCACUACUGUAUUAUUGUUAUUAUUUAUAACGAGACGUUUUCUAAAACAUUUAUUCAACACGAAACAAUGGAAAAUCGUUGUUGACAUUAUUGUAACAGCUGAUUAUAAAUAUAUGUUGCUUAUAUAUUAUUGUAUAUAAUAGAUAAUAUUAUAAUAUUAUAAUUGAAUAAUCGAUUAUACUGAUAAGAACGUCAGAUAUUAAUGAUCGUUUUAUCAUCGUUAUUGU